rnacentral:rRNA from 1 species
UACAGAGGUCUCAAGCGUUGUUCGGAUUCAUUGGGCGUAAAGGGUGCGUAGGUGGCGGGGUAAGUCAGGUGUGAAAUCUCGGAGCUCAACUCCGAAACUGCACUUGAUACUGCCUUGCUCGAGUACUGGAGAGGAGAUUGGAAUUUACGGUGUAGCAGUGAAAUGCGUAGAUAUCGUAAGGAAGUCCAGUGGCGAAGGCGGCUCACUGGACCGGAACUGACGCUGAGGCGCGAAAGCGUGGGGAGCAAACAGG